rnacentral:rRNA from 1 species
AUUGAACGCUGGCGGCAGGCCUAACACAUGCAAGUCGAGCGGAGCGGCGGACGGGUGAGUACUGCCUAGGAAUCUGCCUGGUAGUGGGGGAUACCGUCCGGAAACGGGCGCUAAUACCGCAUCCUAUCAGAUGAGCCUAGGUCGGAUUAGCGAGUUGGGGGGGUAAAGGCCUACCAAGGCGACGAGCCGUAAAGGGUCUGAGAGGAUGAUCAGUCACACUGGAACUGAGACACGGUCCAGAAUCCUACGGGAGGCAGCAGUGGGGAAUAGUGGACAAUGGGCGAAAGCCGGAUCCAGCCAUGCCGAGUGUGUGAAGAAGGGCUGAGGAUUGUAAAGCACUUGAAGUUGGGAGGCGUUACCAACAGAAGAAGCACCGGCUAACUUCGUGCCAGCAGCCGCGGUAAUAC